UACGUAGGGUGCAAGCGUUGUCCGGAAUUAUUGGGCGUAAAGAGCUCGUAGGCGGUCUGUCGCGUCGGCUGUGAAAUCUCGGGGCUCAACCCCGAGCCUGCAGUCGAUACGGGCAGACUAGAGUGCUGUAGGGGAGACUGGAAUCCUGUGUAGCGGUGAAAUGCGCAGAUAUCAGGAGGAACACCGGUGGCGAAGGCGGUUCUCUGGGCAUUACCUGACGCUGGAGGAGCGAAAGUGUGGGGAGCGAACAGG
rnacentral:rRNA from 1 species